UAACGUGCUUGAAGUGAUUCAAUUUAACUUUCGCGCUGAACUCGAUUGGAUCGUCGUCUCCGCUACGGACUAUUUCCUGCUCUCAGAAACGUCGAAUCCGCGUUGUUUCAAGAAGUGAAAUUAGAUUGUCUUCCUUCCCCCCUAGAAUAGCAGGAAAUUGGACAAGGAAGAGUGAAGUUUUUGACCCUGAAAUCUGCCGGCUCUUGAAUAACCAAACAGUUUGUAAACAUAUUCAACCCCACCAGUGUCUAGGGCGAUUAAGAGUGAGUUAAAAGGAUUCUGAUCGGAAUCCACGAUGACAAAGUUUCCUGCAGUGUUGGCGCUCGGCGCUAUUUUGUGCGGUUUGGCCGCCGUCUCGUACGGACACACCUACAAAACGGGCGAAUGUCCAACCGUGGAACCGAUGAGCGGGUUUAACAUGCAACAGUUCCUGGGUGUUUGGUACGUGAUUCAGAAAACGGGCACCGCAUCCACCUGCGUCGUCUACAAUAUCACCAAGGGUGAGGAUCCGGGCGAGUACAACAUCGAGCAACUGUCCCAGAAGGCCCCGCUGUCGAUUGCUCCCAUCAAGCACGAAUACAGCUACACCGGAAAGCUGACGGCAACCGAUAAGGACAUCCCGGCACGGAUGACUGUCCGGUUUCCGUUGAGUGUGGCAGGAUCUGCCAAAUUUAUUGUGUUUAUGACCGACUACAGCACGUUCGGAGGCAUAUUCUCUUGUCAGAAAAUUCCGUUUGGCCAUCGCCAAAGCGCUACCAUUCUGUCGAGGACCAAGGAUUUAGACAAGAUCUAUGUUGAUAAGAUUCGCAACCGACUUGCCAGCUUCUCGGUGGAUCCGUUCGAUUUGAGCAUCAUCGAUCAGACAGGAUGUCCGAAGGAGGGAGAAGCCGGUUGGAACAUUCACAUUGAUUCGGACACAUUCUCGGCGAAAAACAUUGCCAACGUAUUCCGCAAAGCCGGAGAGAAGAUCGGCGACGGAUUCGAGUAUGCUGUGAAUGCCGGCAAAAAGGUCAAUUUGUUUUAAUCAUCCCAUCCAGAAAUGCGUUAAACACUCGACGAGCGAGAGAGCAAAAACAAACGCAAAACUACAGCUUAUCCUUUGUGUUCAUAUUUACAACCAAUAUGCGACCUCCAGCGCAGAAGAGGAAACCAGCAGUGGCACUCGAACGGAACGUUUGACCAUGAAACCCAACGCCGAUUCCGAGUGGCUUCCUUAAAGCUGAUCUUCCAAGCUUAGUUUGAAAAGUAGUAUGGAUUAUUAUCUUAUCUUUUUCGAUCAUUAUGACAAUAAAAUGAAUACAAAUAGUUUUAA